GUACUGGUGGCUAUGUGGUAGAGUUUCUGCUUGUUAGGUGGGAGGUCUGAGUUCAAGUCCCAGCUGGGAUG
rnacentral:tRNA from 1 species